UCCCUCAUAUCUAAGUCAGUAAAGAAUCUGCCUGCAAUGCAGGAGACCGAGGUUCAAGUCCUGGGUUGGGAA
rfam:Ovis aries breed Texel chromosome 16, whole genome shotgun sequence.